GAUGAACGCUGGCGGCGUGCCUAAUACAUGCAAGUCGAGCGAAUGGAUUGAGAGCUUGCUCUUAUGAAGUUAGCGGCGGACGGGUGAGUAACACGUGGGUAACCUGCCCAUAAGACUGGGAUAACUCCGGGAAACCGGGGCUAAUACCGGAUAACAUUUUGAACCGCAUGGUUCGAAAUUGAAAGGCGGCUUCGGCUGUCACUUAUGGAUGGACCCGCGUCGCAUUAGCUAGUUGGUGAGGUAACGGCUCACCAAGGCAACGAUGCGUAGCCGACAUGAGAGGGUGAUCGGCAACACUGGGACUGAGACACGGCCCAGACUCCUACGGGAGGCAGCAGUAGGGAAUCUUCCGCAAUGGACGAAAGUCUGACGGAGCAACGCCGCGUGAGUGAUGAAGGCUUUCGGGUCGUAAAACUCUGUUGUUAGGGAAGAACAAGUGCUAGUUGAAUAAGCUGGCACCUUGACGGUACCUAACCAGAAAGCCACGGCUAACUACGUGCCAGCCGCCGCCGUAA
rnacentral:rRNA from 1 species